rnacentral:rRNA from 1 species
CCCUUAGAUGUUCUGGGCCGCACGCGCGCUACACUGAUGAAUUCAACGAGUACCUAACCUAGGCCGAAGGGUCUGGGUAAUCUUUGAAAUUUCAUCGUGAUGGGGAUAGAUUAUUGCAAUUAUUAAUCUUCAACGAGGAAUUCCUAGUAAGCGCGGGUCAUCAUCCCGCGCUGAAUACGUCCCUGCCCUUUGUACACACCGCCCGUCGCUCCUACCGAUUGAGUGGUCUGGUGAGGCUUUGGGAUCUGAGCGGAAAGAGCGUUUCGCUGUUUCUGCUCGGAAAACUCAGUCGAACCUUAUCAUUUAGAGGAAGGAGAAGUCGUAACA